rnacentral:rRNA from 1 species
CCUACGGGCGGCAGCAGUGAGGAAUAUUGGUCAAUGGGCGCGAGCCUGAACCAGCCAAGCCGCGUGAGGGAUGAAGGUACAGAGUAUCGUAAACCUCUUUUGUCAGGGAACAAAGGCGGGGACGUGUCCCCGGAUGAGUGUACCUGAAGAAAAAGCAUCGGCUAACUCCGUGCCAGCAGCCGCGGUAAUACGGAGGAUGCGAGCGUUAUCCGGAUUUAUUGGGUUUAAAGGGUGCGCAGGCGGUCUGUUAAGUCAGCGGUCAAAGCCCGGGGCUCAACCCCGGCCCGCCGUUGAAACUGGCAGUCUCGAGUUGGAGAGAAGUAUGCGGAAGGCGCGGUGUAGCGGUGAAAUGCAUAGAUAUCGCGCAGAACUCCGAUUGCGAAGGCAGCAUGCCGGCUCCACACUGACGCUGAGGCACGAAAGCGUGGGUAUCGAACAGGAUUAGAUACCCCAGUAGUC